rnacentral:rRNA from 1 species
GAUGAACGCUGGCGGCGUGCCUAAUACAUGCAAGUCGAGCGAACGGACGAGAAGCUUGCUUCUCUGAUGUUAGCGGCGGACGGGUGAGUAACACGUGGAUAACCUACCUAUAAGACUGGGAUAACUUCGGGAAACCGGAGCUAAUACCGGAUGAUAUUUUGAACCGCAUGGUUCAAAAGUGAAAGACGGUCUUGCUGUCACUUAUAGAUGGAUCCGCGCUGCAUUAGCUAGUUGGUAAGGUAACGGCUUACCAAGGCAACGAUGCAUAGCCGACCUGAGAGGUUGAUCGGCCACACUGGAACUGAGACACGGUCCAGACUCCUACGGGAGGCAGCAGUAGGGAAUCUUCCGCAAUGGGCGAAAGCCUGACGGAGCAACGCCGCGUGAGUGAUGAAGGUCUUCGGAUCGUAAAACUCUGUUAUUAGGGAAGAACAUAUGUGUAAGUAACUGUGCACAUCUUGACGGUACCUAAUCAGAAAGCCACGGCUAACUACGUG